rfam:Eubacterium sp. CAG:274 genomic scaffold, scf39
GGCCUGGUAGCUCAGCUGGUUAGAGCGCUGGCCUGUCACGCCAGAGGUCGAGGGUUCGAGCCCCUUCCAGGUCG